AACGUAGGAGACAAACGUUAUCCGGAGUUACUGGGCGUAAAGGGCGUGCAGGCGGCAGUCUAAGUCUGGCGUGAAAUAUCCCGGCUCAACCGGGGAAGGUCGUCGGAUACUGGGCAGCUAGAGGGCGGUAGAGGCGUGUGGAAUUCCGGGUGUAGUGGUGAAAUGCGUAGAGAUCCGGAGGAACACCAGUGGCGAAGGCGACACGCUGGGCCGUACCUGACGCUAAGACGCGACAGCAUGGGGAGCAAACAGG
rnacentral:rRNA from 1 species